UAAUAAUCUACUUUUUCUAAAAUAUUUGAGCCAAAAAAUUUCUAAAAACUGAAGAUAUGGCUCCAACCAUUACUAUGAACAAAAUCACUUAUUUACUACCUUUGAUUUGGAUGUACUGACUUUAACUCUUUAUAACUCCUUCAUCCAAAUUAUAAAUUCAUCAAAUAAUAUAUAAAAAAUAUAGUCAUAGAAGUGCUUUCUCCAACUCUAAUUAUUGAUUCUUUGUUG
rnacentral:lncRNA from 1 species